GCACCUUAACAAAACGGGUGCCGGGUUUGAGAUCCCGAUUCAACAAGCGGACAUUAGCCGCUAAAAGCGGUUUUUUU
rnacentral:sRNA from 1 species